rnacentral:rRNA from 1 species
UACGUAGGGUGCAAGCGUUGUCCGGAAUUAUUGGGCGUAAAGGGCUCGUAGGCGGUCCAUCGCGUCGGGAGUGAAAAGCUGGGGCUUAACCCCAGUCCUGCUUCCGAUACGGGUGGACUAGAGGUAGGUAGGGGAGAUCGGAAUUCCUGGUGUAGCGGUGAAAUGCGCAGAUAUCAGGAGGAGCACCAGCGGCGAAGGCGGCGCUCUGGGCCGGUACUGACACUGAGGAGCGGAAAGCGUGGGUAGCAAACAGG